UUGUUACAAAAAAAAAUGCAUAUAAAUUUUCAUUGAGUGCUGAUUUCUUUAUCAUAUGAAUAAUUAUGGUUAUUGAGGAUCUGUCGCAAGGUGUACAGUAUUAUCUAUAGAAGAGUUUUAUCAAAAGAUAUAAGAUAUGUCGUGCAUGUAGUUUAAGAAAAUAUUAGGUCAUGUGAGUCUUGAAAUAGGUAGCGUUUAACAAGCGAUACGAAGGGAUUUUACAACAAAACCAAUCCCUCCUUUAUAUAUGUACAGUAAAACGUACAAAUGCCUUCCACUUGAAGUUGCUGCUAGAAAAUGAAUAUUUGCGGUUAGUCUUGUAUUUUCGUACUCUUUGCCGACAGAUCUGCCAAAUGAUCAGGUGUCAUCAAUGGUCAUCACUAGAAAAGUUUGUUUUGAUCGGUUGGUUUUUUCGAUAGCGGCUUUUGUAAAUUCUUCAAUGUUUUAGAAAUAAUUCCGAGUGUUAAAAUAAUUAAAUGUGUUCGGGAAUUAAAUGUUAAAGUGAUUGAUAAAAGGAUUAUGCAAUCAAUUGCAGUUAUUAUACGAAAGACAGCAACUACGAACAGAGGAGACAUUAUAAAGAGGAAUUCAACAAUCUUUGUCCGGAAUAUAAACAAUUAUAAAAAUACGUUAACAGUAAAAGUCGAUAUUAUAAGUGGCAGCAGCAAUAUAAUAUAGUGAAAGCUCAGGGGAAUUUUCAAGAACUCAAGAUAAAAAUAAAAAUUUUUAAAGAUUACAAUAUGAAUAACGAUCCGGUCUUCAAGCAACGUAACACGAGACACGAUUAUUUGCAUGGAAAAUUGACUCACUUAAAGAAUUUGGUCGAAGAAUUUGAUACGAAGCAUUUCGGUGUUAAUGGUAACAAGACAAGAUUUUGAAGAAGAAAAAUAUUUGUUUAAUUGAAAAUUGUUGGAUAGAAAAUUAAUUUGGCUUAAUAUAUAAAAUAUGAAAAAAAUUUAAUAAACAUUAAUAGAUUUAAAGAAGUUAAUUUCAGAAAUAAAUAAAAAAAGAACAAUAAACGAAAUUAAACACAAGAAAAUAC